rnacentral:rRNA from 1 species
GAUGAACGCUGGCGGCGUGCCUAAUACAUGCAAGUCGAGCGAACAGACGAGGAGCUUGCUCCUCUGACGUUAGCGGCGGACGGGUGAGUAACACGUGGAUAACCUACCUAUCAGACUGGGAUAACUUCGGGAAGCCGGAGCUAAUACCGGAUAAUAUAUUGAACCGCAUGGUUCGAUAGUGAGAGACGGUUUUGCUGUAACUUAUAGAUGGAUCCGCGCCGCAUUAGCUAGUUGGUGAGGUAACGGCUUACCAAGGGAACUAUGCGUAGCCGACCUGAGAGGGUGAUCGGCCACACUGGAACUGGGCCACGGUCCAGACUCCUGCGGGAGGCAGCAGUAGGGAACCUUCCGCAAUGGGCGAAAGCCUUGCGGAGCAACGCCGCGUCAGUGAUGAAGGUCUUCGGAUCGUAAUACUCUGUUAUUAGUGAAGAACAAAUGUGUAAGUAACUAUGCACGGCUUGACGGUACCUAAUCAGAAAGCCACGGCUAACUACGUG